rnacentral:rRNA from 1 species
AACGAACGCUGGCGGCAGGCCUAACACAUGCAAGUCGAGCGAGGACUUCGGUUCUAGCGGCGGACGGGUGAGUAACGCGUGGGAAUGUGCCCUUCUCUACGGAAUAGCCCUGGGAAACUGGGAGUAAUACCGUAUACGCCCUUUUGGGGAAAGAUUUAUCGGAGAAGGAUCAGCCCGCGUUGGAUUAGGUAGUUGGUGGGGUAAUGGCCUACCAAGCCGACGAUCCAUAGCUGGUUUGAGAGGAUGAUCAGCCACACUGGGACUGAGACACGGCCCAGACUGCUACGGGAGGCAGCAGUGGGGAAUCUUAGACAAUGGGGGCAACCCUGAUCUAGCCAUGCCGCGUGAGUGAUGAAGGCCUUAGGGUUGUAAAGCUCUUUCAGCUGGGAAGAUAAUGACGGUACCAGCAGAAGAAGCCCCGGCUAACUCCGUG